AUUGAACGCUGGCGGCAGGCCUAACACAUGCAAGUCGAGCGAGCGGCGGACGGGUGAGUAAUGCCUGGGAAUUGCCCAGUCGAGGGGGAUAACAGUUGGAAACGACUGCUAAUACCGCAUACGAUUGGUUGCCCGAGGUGGGAUUGGCUAGUUGGGGGGGUAAGGGCUCCCCAAGGCGAAGAUCCCUAGCUGGGCUGGGAGGAUGACCAGCCACACUGUACCGGAGACACGGUCCAGACUCCUACGGGAGGCAGCAGUGGGGAAUAUUGCACAAGGGGGGAAACCCUGAGGCAGCCAUGCCGCGUGUGGGAAGAAGGCCUUCGGGUUGUAAAGCACUUUCAGCGAGGAGGCGUUACUCGCAGAAGAAGCACCGGCUAACUCCGUGCCAGCAGCCGCGGUAAUUC
rnacentral:rRNA from 1 species